rnacentral:rRNA from 1 species
AGCUUCAAGAAAUUUAAUUUGAAGUUAGGUCUGCCCAAUGUCAAUGUCAUCAAUGGCCGCGGUACUUUGACCGUGCUAAGGUAGCGCAAUCAAUUGGCUUUUAAUUAAAGUCAGGUAUGAAUGGAGUUACGGGGUUUAGCUGUCUCUACAAUUAAUCUAUCGAAAUUACUAUUUAGGUGAAAAAGCCUAAAAGAAGAAAAAAGACGAGAAGACCCUUAGAGUUUUUCCAAAAUUAGUAUAAUUACUAUAACAGUUUAGUUGGGGCAACAUAGGAACAGUAGAAUAAUUUUAACCUCCUAAAAAUUACAAACCGAUAAUUAUAAAUAUGAAUAAACUACCUUAGGGAUAACAGCAUAAUUUUAUAAAUAAGUUUGUGACCUCGAUGUUGGACUAGGAAGCUAAGGGGCUAGCCGCCUUUUAGGAAAGUUCUGUUCGAACUAUAAUUCCU